rnacentral:lncRNA from 1 species
GAAGCAACGUGAGCUCAGAUUAGUGUCCAGCUAAAGAUAAAAUUACAUCAUGAGAAAUGGUGCCUCAGGAAUAGGCUAGGAAUAGAGAAGAGUCUUUCACCUGAAUAUUGAACUAGCUCAGAAUCAUUCUAAGCAGAUAACUGACC